rnacentral:pre_miRNA from 1 species
AUAGUACUCUCUCCGUCCAACAAAAGAUGUCUUAACUUUGUCAAAAUUUGGAUUAGCCAGAGAUGACUUAGUGCAUAGAUGCAUUCAAAUUUAAUCAAAGUUGAGACAUUCUUUAUUGGACGGAAAGAGUAGUAC